rnacentral:rRNA from 1 species
AGGACGAACGCUGGCGGCGUGCUUAACACAUGCAAGUCGAGCGGUAAGGCCUUUCGGGGUACACGAGCGGCGAACGGGUGAGUAACACGUGGGUGAUCUGCCCUGCACUCUGGGAUAAGCCUGGGAAACUGGGUCUAAUACCGGAUAUGACCUGCUCUCGCAGUGGGGGGUGGGUGGAAAGAUUUAUCGGUGCAGGAGU